rnacentral:lncRNA from 1 species
GGUCGGUAAUGUUAGAAGACGACUGUCGGUAUCAGAUGGUAAGAUACCUAUGGUCGGUAUAUCUUUGAAAGCUCAGACGGAGAGAAUUAACGGACUCUUCGGGGGCUACUUAAGGCACUUUAGUGCAAACCAGAAGGACUGGAGCUGUUGGAUGUUGCUCAGUGCUGCUAUAACUUAACAACCAAAAAGCUUUGCGUCGAACUUCAGCCCCUUCGAGUUGGCCACGGAGCAACAGCCUCUGACGCCCCACACCAUUGCGGCAGGAGGGGGCUUGCCCAUCAGCCUACUUUGCCAAGAGGUGGCAGGAGCGCAACGACCUAGCCCAACCUACUUAAACAACCUAAUGGCUUGACCCGGUCUAAAGGAAGAAGAAAGUAGACCUUGUAGAGUAGAGAAGGGAGGGGUAGCCUAUAGACAGACUCAAGCGAUCAGCUCGGUGAAAACUCACCCCGUAUUCCAUGUGAGUCAGUUGACUUCGAUUAGACCAGACCGCCCCAGAGAAGACCCACGAGGGCACCACCGGAUGUUUUAUAUAAACUUACUAAAGAAGAAGUUGAGUAUAUCAUAGAUGACCGCACCAUGGGCUAGCCCAUACACCCACUGCACGAGCGGAAUACUACUUAGUCAAGUAGAAGGGCCAACCUGAGAGCGAGGCGGAACGGGCUGAAACUUACGAUUACGAUUCGAGAAGACCAAGUCAGAGACUACUGGACGUCUCGCAGAGCGACUCUCAACGAGGACG